rnacentral:tRNA from 1 species
GGGCUCGUAGCUCAAUUGGCAGAGCAGCGGACUCUUAAUCCGCGGGUUGAAGGUUCGAUUCCUUCCGGGCUCACUA